GUCUUCAUUAGGGGUAUAAACGAACCAAGUUGUUCGCGAGCUACUCGAGGCUCGACUCUAUAAAAGGUCAGCUUGGUUUGGUUCGUUUUUUAAACGAGCCGAGCUCGAGCUCGAAUUUUAGGUUCGUUUAAUAAUGAGCCGAACUCGAGCUUUGCAGUAUUCAACUUGAGCUCGAGUUUGAGCUUAGCUCGUUUAUAGGCUCACGAGCUGGCUCGUUAAACAGGCUCGUGAGUACACG
rnacentral:misc_RNA from 1 species